rnacentral:rRNA from 1 species
GGUGACCUGCCCCUGCACUUCGGGAUAAGCCUGGGAACACUGGGUCUAAUACCGGACUAGGACCGCACCGUGACGUGGUGUGGUGGAAAUUUUUUCGGUUGGGAUGGGCCCCGGCCUAUCAGCUUGUUGCUGGGGUAAUGGCCUACCAAGGCGGCGACGGGUACCGGCCUGAGAGGGUGGACGGCCACAUUGGGACUGAGACACGGCCCAGACUCCUACGGGAGGCAGCAGUGGGGAAUAUUGCACAAUGGGCGGAAGCCUGAUGCAGCGACGCCGCGUGGGGGAUGACGGCCUUCGGGUUGUAAACUCCUUUCACCAUCGACGAAGGGUUUCUGACGGUAGAUGGAGAAGAAGCACCGGCUAACUACGUGCCAGCAGCCGCGGUAAUACGUAGGGUGCGAGCGUUGUCCGGAAUUACUGGGCGUAAAGAGCUCGUAGGUGGUUUGUCGCGUCGUCUGUGAAAUUCCGGGGCUUAACUCCGGGCGUGCAGGCGAUACGGGCAUAACUUGAGUACUGUAGGGGAGACUGGAAUUCCCGGUGUAGCGGUGAAAUGCGCAGAUAUCAGGAGGAACACCGGUGGCGAAGGCGGGUCUCUGGGCAGUAACUGACGCUGAGGAGCGAAAGCAUGGGGAGCGAACAGGAUUAGAUACCCUGGUAGUCCAUGCCGUAAACGGUGGGCGCUAGGUGUGGGUUUCCUUCCACGGGAUCCGUGCCGUAGCUAACGCAUUAAGCGCCCCGCCUGGGGAGUACGCCGCAAGGCUA